CUCCUCCGGGUUUUGCUCCAGCUUCUCCUUCUCCAGCUUCACGGCACCAGGGGUGACGGUGCAGGGCUCCGGGGAGGCCCCAUCGGAGUUGCUCUCCACCCCGACUCCUGCUUCGCCCUCAGGCUGAGAGGUCUCCAAGCCGCCUUGGGGCACUAGCCCCACUCCAACCUGGGGCCCACAGUACGCCAUCCCCCCACAGAACUCAUACGGCGGGGGGCAUGGGGGAAUCCCCCACACCUCAGAGCCUGGCCCAACCCCCGGCCCGAUUCCUGGCCCUCCAGGAG
rnacentral:lncRNA from 1 species